rnacentral:rRNA from 1 species
CUGGUGGCGAGUGGCGAACGGGUGAGUAAUAUAUCGGAACGUGUCCAAUAAUGGGGGAUAACGAGUCGAAAGAUUCGCUAAUACCGCAUACGCCCUACGGGGGAAAGCAGGGGAUCGUAAGACCUUGCGUUAAUGGAGCGGCCGAUAUCUGAUUAGCUUGUUGGUGAGGUAAAGGCUCACCAAGGCGACGAUCAGUAGCUGGUUUGAGAGAACGACCAGCCACACUGGAACUGAGACACGGUCCAGACUCCUACGGGAGGCAGUAGUGGGGAAUUUUGGACAAUGGGGGCAACCCUGAUCCAGCCAUUCCGCGUGAGUGAAGAAGGCCUUCGGGUUGUAAAGCUCUUUCGCAAGGGAAGAAAACUUAUGAUCGAAUAAAUCAUGAGGUUGACGGUACCUUGAUAAGAAGCACCGGCUAACUACGUGCCAGCAGCCGCGGUAAUACGUAGGGUGCGAGCGUUAAUCGGAAUUACUGGGCGUAAAGCGUGCGCAGGCGGUUUUGUAAGUCGGAUGUGAAAUCCCCGGGCUCAACCUGGGAACUGCGUUCGAAACUGGAAGGCUAGAGUGUGUCAGAGGGGGGUAGAAUUCCACGUGUAGCAGUGAAAUGCGUAGAGAUGUGGAGGAACACCAGUGGCGAAGGCGGCCAUCUGGACAGUAACUGACGCUGAAGCACGAAAGUGUGGGUAGCAAACAGGAUUAGAUACCCUGGUAGUCCACACCGUAAACGAUGAACACUUGGUGUAGUGGGCGUUGACCCCCACUGUGCCGUAGCUAACGCGAUAAGUGUUCCGCCUGGGGAGUACGGUCGCAAGGCUGAAACUCAAAGGAAUUGACGGGGGCCCGCACAAGCGGUGGAGCAUGUGGUUCAAUUCGACGCAACGCGAAGAACCUUACCUGGGCUUGAACUGUAAUGGACCGUGGCAGAGAUGUCACUUUUCGCAAGAACUGUUAUAGAGGUGCUGCAUGGCUGUCGUCAGCUCGUGUCGUGAGAUGUUGGGUUAAGUCCCGCAACGAGCGCAACCCUUACCUAUAGUUGCCAGCGAGUAAUGUCGGGAACUCUAUAGGGACUGCCCGGGUUAACCGGGAGGAAGGUGGGGAUGAUGUCAAGUCCUCAUGGCCCUUAUGUCCAGGGCUACACACGUGCUACAAUGGCCGACACAAACCGCUGCAGAAUCGUAAGAUGAAGCUAAUCGGAGAAAAUCGGCCUCAGUUCGGAUUGAGGUCUGCAACUCGACCUCAUGAAGUUGGAAUCGCUAGUAAUCGUAUAUCAGAACGAUACGGUGAAUACGUUCCCGGGCCUUGUACACACCGCCCGUCACAUCACGAAAGCCGGAAGCACUUGAAGAGGCUGUGGUAACCGCAAGGAGCUAGGUCUCAAUGGUGAAUUUGGUGAUUGGGGUGAAGUCGUAACAAGGUAACCGUA